CACACACACACACACACACACAAUUAAGUAUUUUUCUUGUUUUAAUGAAGGUGUCAAAGGAGACAAAGGAAUAGGAGAUGUUGGAUCAAAAGGAGACAAAGGGAGUGUUGGUGCUCUUGGGCCUAAAGGAAACAAAGGUGACAAAGGAAUAGGAGAUGUUGGACCUAAAGGCGACAAAGGAGACAAAGGGAGUAUUGGUAUAUGCUUUCUAAUGACUUUGUUAACCUGAUAAUACUUUUCUUAGAGGCAUUUUGUUAAUUAUUAUUAUUAGGUGCUUUUGGGCCUAAAGGAGACAUAGGUGAUAUUGGUCCUAAAGGCAACAACGGCAGUAUUGGCAAUUCUGGGCCUAAAGGUGACGAAGGUGAUAAAGGGGAUGUUGGCAAUUCUGGACGUAAAGGUGACAAAGGAGAAAACGGAAAUGCUGGUGAGAAAGGAAAUGAAGGAACUAUGGGACCUAUGGGUGACAAGGGAGAAAUCGGAACUGGUGAGAAAGGAGACAAAGGAACAGGAGAUGUUGGACCUAAAGGAGGCAAAGGGAGUGUUGGUAUAUGCUUUCUAAUAGCUUUAUCAAACAAUAUAGUACUUUUUACAGGCAUCAUGUCAAUUACGAUUAGG